rnacentral:other from 1 species
UCGGCCCUGCGGGGUUCGUCGAGGGUGUGAAAUGCUGAAAACCCCAGCGGACAGAAAGGGAUCUUUCCCUGGCUGCGGUGAGCAGGCGGAUGCUCGCAUUCGCGUGCCUGAAGCGGUCACCAGAGAACCCACCUAUUGAGUAGGGGGUUGUUCCGCUAGCGCCCGAUGACACGGCUCACGCGGGGCCGGA